GACGAACGCUGGCGGCGUGCCUAAUACAUGCAAGUAGAACGCUGAAGGAGGAGCUUGCUUCUCUGGAUGAGUUGCGAACGGGUGAGUAACGCGUAGGUAACCUGCCUGGUAGCGGGGGAUAACUAUUGGAAACGAUAGCUAAUACCGCAUAAUAGUAGAUGUUGCAUGACAUUUGCUUAAAAGGUGCAAUUGCAUCACUACCAGAUGGCCCUGCGUUGUAUUAGCUAGUUGGUGGGGUAACGGCUCAACAAGGCGACGAUACAUAGCCGACCUGAGAGGGAGAUCGGACACCCUGGGACCGAGACACGGCCCAGACGCCUACGGGAGGCAGCAGUAGGGAAUCUUCGGCAAUGGACGGAAGUCUGACCGAGCAACGCCGCGUGAGUGAAGAAGGUUUUCGGAUCGUAAAGCUCUGUUGUAAGAGAAGAACGAGUGUGAGAGUGGAAAGUUCACACUGUGACGGUAUCUUACCAGAAAGGGACGGCUAACUACGUG
rnacentral:rRNA from 1 species